GACGAACGCUGGCGGCGUGCUUAACACAUGCAAGUCGAACUGAAAGGCCUCUUUCGGGGGGUACUCGAGUGGCGAACGGGUGAGUAACACGUGAGUAACCUGCCCUUGACUUUGGGAUAACUUCAGGAAACUGGGGCUAAUACCGGAUAGGAGCUCCUGCUGCAUGGUGGGGGUUGGAAAGUUUCGGCGGUUGGGGAUGGACUCGCGGCUUAUCAGCUUGUUGGUGGGGUAGUGGCUUACCAAGGCUUUGACGGGUAGCCGGCCUGAGAGGGUGACCGGCCACAUUGGGACUGAGAUACGGCCCAGACUCCUACGGGAGGCAGCAGUGGGGAAUAUUGCACAAUGGGUGGAAGCCUGAUGCAGCAACGCCGUGUGCGGGAGGACGGCCUUCGGGUUGUAAACCGCUUUCGCUCAUGACGAAGCUUUGUGUGACGGUAGUGGGUAAAGAAGCACCGGCUAACUACGUG
rnacentral:rRNA from 1 species